rnacentral:rRNA from 1 species
GAUGAACGCUGGCGGCGUGCCUAAUACAUGCCAGUCGAGCGAACAGACGAGGAGCUUGCUCCUUCGACGUUAGCGGCGGACGGGUGAGUAACACGUAGGUAACCUACCUAUAAGACUGGGAUAACUUCGGGAAACCGGAGCUAAUACCGGAUAAUAUUUCGAACCGCAUGGUUCGAUAGUGAAAGAUGGCUUUGCUAUCACUUAUAGAUGGACCUGCGCCGUAUUAGCUAGUUGGUAAGGUAACGGCUUACCAAGGCAACGAUACGUAGCCGACCUGAGAGGGUGAUCGGCCACACUGGAACUGAGACACGGUCCAGACUCCUACGGGAGGCAGCAGUAGGGAAUCUUCCGCAAUGGGCGAAAGCCUGACGGAGCACCGCCGCGUGAGUGAUGAAGGUCUUCGGAUCGUAAAACUCUGUUAUUAGGGAAGAACAAACGUGUAAGUAACUGUGCACGUCUUGACGGUACCUAAUCAGAAAGCCACGGCUAACUACGUG